rnacentral:rRNA from 1 species
UACGUAGGGUGCAAGCGUUUGUCCGGAAUUAUUGGGCGUAAAGAGCUCGUAGGCGGUUCGUCGCGUCUGCUGUGAAAACCCGAGGCUCAACCUCGGGCCUGCAGUGGGUACGGGCAGACUAGAGUGCGGUAGGGGAGAAUGGAACUCCUGGUGUAGCGGUGGAAUGCGCAGAUAUCAGGAAGAACACCGAUGGCGAAGGCAGUUCUCUGGGCCGUAACUGACGCUGGAGGAAGCGAAAGCGUGGGGAGCGAACAGG